CGCACAUAUAAUUAAAUGCCUACUAUAUACCAAGCACUGGACAAACAAGUGUGUUUUUCAUUCAUUAUCUUGUUUCAUUUUCAUGAAGAUACCAUGAGGUAGGAUAUUUUUUUAAAUCAUCACUUUACAAAUGAAAAAAUGUAUCAUUAUCACUGCUUUACAGAUGGUGCUCCCUGUGAUUCAGGGAUUUACCCAUGGCCCUAGAGCUCAUCAGAUGUCACUAGCAUCAAAUCCUUUGCAGGUUCAUGCAAGGUGGUUAGGGUCCUUCCAUGCCAUGUAGAGACUUUGAUCUUCAUCCUGCGUUUGUUUUGUUUUUCUUUAUUCUUAGAAAGCAUUCUUUCUGGAUUGUUUUGUUUUAGUCCUGAGUAGGUAACUAC
rnacentral:lncRNA from 10 species